CAGUAGCCGCGGUAAUACGAGGGGGGCAAGCGUUGUUCGGAAUUAUUGGGCGUAAAGGGUGCGUAGGCGGUUUGAUAAGUCAUCUGUGAAAUCUAUGGGCUCAACCCAUAGUCUGCAGGCGAAACUGUCGGGCUUGAGAGUGGGAGAGGUGAGUGGAAUUUCCGGUGUAGCGGUGAAAUGCGUAGAUAUCGGAAGGAACACCUGUGGCGAAAGCGGCUCACUGGACCAUUUCUGACGCUGAUGCACGAAAGCUAGGGGAGCAAACAGGAUUAGAUACCCCGGUAGUCCCUGUCUCUUAUAC
rnacentral:rRNA from 1 species